GAUGAAGAACGUAGCGAAAUGCGAUAAGUAAUGUGAAUUGCAGGAUUCAGUGAAUCAUCGAAUCUUUGAACGCACAUUGCGCCCGCCAGUAUUCUGGCGGGCAUGCCUGUUCGAGCGUCAUUACAACCCUCAGGCCCCCGGGCCUGGCGUUGGGGAUCGGCGGAAGCCCCCUGCGGGCACAACGCCGUCCCCCAAAUACAGUGGCGGUCCCGCCGCAGCUUCCAUUGCGUAGUAGCUAACACCUCGCAACUGGAGAGCGGCGCGGCCACGCCGUAAAACACCCAACUUCUGAAUGUUGACCUCGAAUCAGGUAGGAAUACCCGCUGAACUUAAGCAUAUCAAUAAGCGGAGGA
rnacentral:misc_RNA from 1 species